UACGGAGGGGGCUAGCGUUGUUCGGAAUUACUGGGCGUAAAGCGCGCGUAGGCGGACCUGCAAGUCCGGCGUGAAAGGCUCGGGCUCAACCCGAGACGGCCGUUGGAAACUGUCGUUCUUGAGGGUCGAAGAGGAGAGUGGAAUUCCUGGUGUAGCGGUGAAAUGCGUAGAGAUCAGGAGGAACACCCAUGGCGAAGGCAGCUCUCUGGUCGACCUCUGACGCUGAGACGCGAAAGCGUGGGGAGCGAACAGG
rnacentral:rRNA from 1 species